UGAGGAAUAUUGGACAAUGGGGGCAACCCUGAUCCAGCCAUGCCGCGUGCAGGAAGACGGCCCUACGGGUUGUAAACUGCUUUUGUACGGGAAGAACCCCGCCUACUAGUUAGGCGGUUGACGGUACCGUAAGAAUAAGCACCGGCUAACUCCGUGCCAGCAGCCGCGGUAAUACGGAGGGUGCAAGCGUUAUCCGGAAUCAUUGGGUUUAAAGGGUCCGCAGGCGGGGCGGUCAGUCAGUGGUGAAAUGCAGGGGCUCAACCCCGGCACCGCCAUUGAUACUGCCGUUCUUGAAUUUCCGUGAAGUGACCGGAAUAUGUGGUGUAGCGGUGAAAUGCUUAGAUAUCACAUAGAACACCGAUUGCGAAGGCAGGUCACUAACGGAAGAUUGACGCUGAGGGACGAAAGCGUGGAUAGCGAACAGGAUUAGAUACCCCCGUAGUCC
rnacentral:rRNA from 1 species